rnacentral:rRNA from 1 species
AUUGAACGCUGGCGGCAGGCCUAACACAUGCAAGUCGAACGCGAAAACCCCUUCGGGGGCAAGUAGAGUGGCGAACGGGUGAGUAACGCGUAGGAAUCUACCCAGGAUGGGGGACAACCCGGAGAAAUCCGGGCUAAUACCGCAUAUGCCCUACGGGGUAAAGUGGGGGACCUUUAGGGGCCUCACGCUUUUGGAUGAGCCUGCGUCGGAUUAGCUUGUUGGUAAGGUAACGGCUUACCAAGGCGACGAUCCGUAGCUGGUCUGAGAGGAUGACCAGCCACACUGGGACUGAGACACGACCCAGACUCCUACGGGAGGCAGCAGUGGGGAAUAUUGGACAAUGGGGGCAACCCUGAUCCAGCCAUGCCGCGUGUGUGAAGAAGGCCUUCGGGUUGUAAAGCACUUUCAGUGGGGAGGAAGGCUCAAUGUUUAAUACGCAUUGGGAUUGACGUUACCCACAGAAGAAGCACCGGCUAACUCUGUG